rnacentral:rRNA from 1 species
AUGGAUAUCCUCGUCUCUGCAAUCGUAGGUGACUUCAUCAGCAGGUCUGCAUCGUUCAUGAUCAGCAAAUACUUCCAGCAGCAGCCUGACCUCAACAAGAUUCAACAGAGGCUACAGAGAGUCCUACUGAGAAUCGACAUCAUCGCCGAGGAGGCCGAAGCGCGGGACAUCACCAACCAGGGGAUGCUCCGUCAGCUCAAGAUGUUGAGGCAAGGAAUGUACAGAGGCCGCUAUGUUCUUGAUGCCUUGAGAUUCCAAGCGGCCCUCGACGAGGAGGUAAGCCACUCAUCAUCUGCGCUCUGUAAAUAUAGUCCAGCCAAACGGCUCUGUUUCUCUCGCGCCGGCAGUGGCAGCAGCAACAGAGAAGCGCUGUUGUUUGGCACAAACAGCAACAUGAGGGAAGAGCUGCAACGGAUGGUUGAUACCCUUGAAGAGACCGUUUCUGGCAUGAAGGAGUUUAUUUUCUUCUUGGAGUCAUAUCCCCGGAUACACCGCCAACCUUAUGGCACAUAUUUGGUAUUGGACAAUUGCAUGUUUGGUCGGCAAACGGAACGGGAGCGGGUCCUGAAUUUCUUGCUUUGUCCCAGUGCUACUUCAGACUUGGCUGUACUUCCGAUCAUUGGUCCAAGAAGAGUAGGGAAGAGCACCCUUGUUGAGUACAUCUGUAGGGAUGAGAGUGUGCGUGAUGGCUUCUCCAUGAUCAUGUUCUUUCCAGAAGGCAGUCUCAAGGAUGAAGGAGUGGUCGACCUGAAAGGGAACAUUAUGAAUAGUCUAGUCAGACAUGAGAAUUUUGCUUCUCAAAACAGGUUGCUGAUUAUUGUUGAAAUAGCCGAGGGCAUUAGCGAGGAAACACUGAGAAGCCUGAAAUCUUCCGCAACCUUCAUCACACCUUGCGGUGGCUGCAAAAUCAUAAUCACCAGUCGCUCGGAUAGAGUAGUGAAUCUGGGAACAACAGAAGCACUUCGACUGGACUAUCUCUCUCAGGAAGCUUAUUGGCAUUUUUUCAAGUCGCUUGCAUUCGGAAGCAGAAGCCCUGAUGAACAGCCAAAACUGGCAUCGAUGGCCAUGGAGAUCGCUUUGGAACACAAACAGUGUUUCGCAAGCGCGCAUAUCAUUGCUGGGAUGCUGCGAGAUAACUUCAAUGCUCAAUUCUGGAGCACAAUUCUUGAUUGUGUGAGAGCAUUUAAACAGACACAUCUCCUUAUGUUUGGCCAGCACCCAUACCUUCGUAUGCGGGAAGAUGCACCGGUGUAUGGUUGGAGAUUGGCGAGCAGCAGCAAAUAUUUCUUGGUUUGCAACACUUGUCAGUUAGGUUCCAGUGAGGAAGUCCCGAAGAUCAGUGUGCAGGACAUCAUCUUAGGACAUGGUGGUACACUACCACGUGGGCAAUUUGAGGCCCUUGGAUGGAGGUCUCGCAUACCUCCCUACUACAACUACAUGGUAAGCUGUAAGAUGCAAGAACCACAAAUUACUGUGGGAAGGAAGAAGCGCGCGCAUCAGGAGGAAGAACAUUUGAUUUGA